rnacentral:rRNA from 1 species
AAUUUAAAGUCUGACCUGCCCACUGAUUAAAUUAAAGGGCCGCAGUAUAUUGACUGUGCAAAGGUAGCAUAAUCAUUUGUCUUUUAAUUGAAGACUGGAAUGAAUGGUUAGAUGAAAUAUUAGCUGUCUCAUUUUUAAAAAUAUAAAAACUUAUUUUUUUAGUUAAAAAACUAAAAUAAAUUUAAAAGACGAGAAGACCCUAUAGAUCUUAAUAAUUAAUAAUUAUAUGAAAAAUAGAAUAAAAAUUAUUUUAUAUUUUAUUAUUAUUUUGUUGGGGUGACAGGAAAAUUUAAUUAACUUUUUUUAUUUUUAAAACCAAUGAUUUUUGAAUAUUUGAUCCAAUAUUAUUGACAAUAAAAUUAAGUUACCUUAGGGAUAACAGCGUAAUUUUUUUAGAGAGUUCUUAUCGAAAAAAGAGUUUGCGACC